AGUUCUCAUUCUGACGUAUUAAUAAUGAGCCAAAAGCAGAGGAAGAGAGAGACGGAGGGGGAAGAAGGAAACAGCAAGGAAAGCUAACAGAGAGAGAUCUUUCUAAAGCACAGGAGAGGAACAGAUUCUACAGCUGGAGAAGAGGGAAGGCAAGUUGGGAAGGUUAAGGCUGAUGAAAAUGAAGGACAAUCCUCUAAAUCAAAUCACUAACUCCUAUGCCAGAGAAACCAAGAAUUAGGAAAAGUGUGCAUGACAGGAGACAACCUAAAAGACCUCAAGACUCUGUCACCAAUUAAUUCAAUUCCGUUUGUUAUAAAGGUGAGAUAUGUAUUCAUACUGGGCCUCUGUGCUAAACUUCUGGACAGAUGCAGGAUCACAACUGAUGAUUAAUUUUGUGGAUUUGUAUAUGUGUCUGGUCUAGUUUCCACAGCUGCUGAAAGUCAGUACUCAGGAUCCAAAGAAUUCUCAAAUAUUUGUUAGAGGUUUCAGACCCAUUUUGAACUUCAAGUGCUGCCAUAAAUCAUCUUCACCUGCUGGUCAGAAACCAAAUCUUCUUCUGUGCGAAAAUGCAAAUAUAGAGGAUUUCAGGUGGAUAUCAUAAGAAGGAGUACAUACAGGUGAUGACUAUUUACCAGCUUCUGGCAGCCAGCCAGCCACCAUGUUGAUCACAGGAUGCUGCAGCUAGAGGGGUCAAGCAGUGGAGAGCUGCUCAUGCACUGAGGACUGCCUACCUACUGGGAGUGCAGAGCAUUCUGGGAUACCUCCUUCGACCCUCCCCCUUUCCACAAUGGAGACCAUGGUUGCAGUGAUUACCUGGCUGAAGUCCAGAACCAGGAGGAGGCAGUUGCUGUUGUUAUGCUUCAGGUUUUGUGUUACAGCCAAGCAUGUAUAACAUUUAGUAGGGUAAGGUGGGUUUUUACAGGCUACAAGGGUGCGCAGAUACUACCAUCUGUAACUUGGGUGUUCCACAGGGAAUAGCUCAGAUGCCUGGUUUGCAUGAUUCUUCCCCCAUUCAAAAUGUCAUGGAAAUUUGCAUGGGGUAUUUGUAUGCAUCUGCAUUAUGCUUAAUGCACUAUAGAGAGGAGGGAGGGUGUACCCCCUCCUUUCCAUGUGACCACCCUGACUGGUCUGGUGAAUGUUGAAUCAGAACUAGAUGGCAUUUUCUAAUGCCCCUAGAGAUCCUCAGAGGCCACACAGGGAGCAACCAGGUGGCAUGAAUCCUACGAGGGAUUAUUUCCUGGCUGACAAGUGUCUCAUGUUUUCUCUACACCAUUACCUUUUUUGGGUACUGUGGCCCACCCUAAUUCCCAUACCAUUAGCUGCAUGCUCUAAUGGCACAUUCAAUGCAGCUGGGAAUUUAUGUGAUGCUCAGGAUGACUUCUGUAGCUUCAUGUUGUCCCCCACUCUCAGGAACUAUUAGAUAUACAAUGUAUUGAGUUUUCUUGGGAAGGGGAGAACAAAAUUUCAGGCACCCUCUUCAUAAACAUUCAUAACAAUAGAUAUGGCAAGAACAGCGGGUUUCACUGCAUUAAAAAAAAACCAACCUUCUCACAUCCAUGAUUAAAUGAUGAUAACAUUUCUAAAUGUACAUAUUUUAAUAUAGUGGCCAAUUAUUUUCUUACAUAUCUUUGGAACAAACUAAGGUUCUCUUACAGAAACACACACACACACACACACACACACACACACACACACACAAACCACUGAGAUGAUAUAGUUAACUAAAUCCAAUUUGAUUUAGUUCGGUGUUGACAGCAAUAAACAUGAAUUGUUAAUUGUAUAUUGCCCAUAGCAGACACACUCUAAAUGUUUGUGGAGUUUAUAGCAUAUAUCAGUUACAAAUGUGAUUAUACCAGCCAUUCCUCAAAACUGACACCAGUUUCAAAUUAGAAACAGAUAGGUCUCACCUGCUCCUGAGUUCACCCACAGGUCACCUUCUUGUCACUUCAACUAGACCCCCAUUAAAAUGACAUCUGUGUUCAUAAAGAGGCUGAGAGGGACUACAAGUUGUUAAAAUUGUUGAGGAAUAAGAAUAAGGUGUCAUCUACUCAGAUAAUGUAGUGUUCAACUUUGGCCUUUCAUAUAUCUUGAUGUUUGUAACAUUUGACAAUGUUUGCAAAUACAAGAAUAGAAAACCUGGUGAGGUCACCAGCUGUUCUUCAUAUAACCUAUCCAGGGUCUGAUCUUGUGUGCAGCACUUUCUAGAACCAAAGAGCUACAGAGAAGAUCUCAUACCCACUUACCAUAAACCAGGGAUGACUAAACAGCAACCCAAUGGCCAGAUCUGGGUCCAGAAGUAAUUGCAUCUGUUCCCUCAUGGGCUUAACAAAUUUUUCUUAAGGUGUGGUGCAACAUUUGCCCAUAGGGUAUUUGGGGGGCGGGGUGCGUAAGGAAAAAAAUGUUUCCAAAGUUGUAAGAAAAUGGGUCCACACUUUUAUGUUAAGUCUCUUUUGUAUUUUGAAUGUCUCCUUCGCGUUCUGGCAUAAGCAACUUGUAUCAAGAGUGAAGCUCUUACUACUGGGUGACACCACUGUGCACAGGUCAGUUUGUCUGGAAAAAGAUACAUCUGGGCCAUUGGCUGGAUAAGAGAAUGCCAUUUAUAUAAAAUUUAGCAGGGAUUCUCAACGUUGGGUCCCAGAUGUUUUUGGACUUCAACUCCCAUAAUCCCCAACCAAAGGUCUCUGGGGCUGGGGAUUAUGCAAGUUGAAAUCCAGUAACAUCUGGGGACCCAACGUUGAGAAUCUCUGCUCUAGAGUAUAGAAAAUGGAGGGCUGGCACUUCCUUCUGCUGCUUAAACUCCCGUCCAUGUAUGAUUGCCUGUAUGGGGGAGGCUCUCUCACAUUCUAGGGUCAUCUGAAUCAUCCUAUCAAGUGGUAAAGAGAUUUUACCAGGCAUCAUGUGCAUAUAUAAGGGGAAAUGUGUGGUAUGCUUGUAAAUUAUAACUAUUGUAACAAAGUCUUACAUAUCACUGUAUAUCUAGAAUCUAAGAAUCUGUAAGACCAAAGCAAAUGUGUAAGUGUGUUUGUGUGUGUUUAGCUUAUGGUGAUAUAUGAUAGCAAAUGCAGGGUAUAAAUAUGUACCAUAAUAAAGCAGUUCUCACGAGCAGCCUAGCCCAAACUAGGGCAGCUUAACCUGGGCUAGGCUCCACACUGAUCCCAGCGUUCCUACCCAGCUGGAGAACACCCUGGUGAUCUUUCAAACACAUUCUCAUUGCUACCAGCAGCCCCAGGACAUUGCAAGAAGACUAGCUGCUAGAUGGAAGGAGACUUCUGCUACGAUAGACCAGCAAGUGCAACAUGAUUCUCUUCCAGCCCUGAAAGCCAGACAGCAGAAUGCAUGGUUAUGACAGUAUCUUAAUUCAGUUCCUGUUCUCAUAAUUUUAUAUCAGGUCUGUCACCGUGGAAACACUUGUCUGGGAUACUAGUUGCUGAAGUGUUGCUGAAUUGAACAAUACCAACUCAGAGCUGGCCUUUUGUUAGUCUUUACAUUACAACAAUUUAGUCAAACUUUUUCAGAAAACUCUCGUAUCUAGAGUCAUGAAGUUGGGUUAAUACUGAAAUACCCUUCCAGUUUUCAUCGUGUUUUGACAGCCUCCUGUGAAAUUUUCAGCAUUUUGAUUAUCACAUAAUUGUUUUGAAGAAAAAUUCCCCCUGUCAGAAAUGCAGAUUUUGAGACAAAUCCAGAAACUCAGGAAGAUUUCAGCUCAGCCCUACUCAUAUCUAUUUAUUUCCUCCAAAGACUGUUUUUACCUGUUUAAAGUACCACUUUCCUUCCAAAUAAAGUGAAUUUACAGAAGUCAA